ACGAACGCUUGCGGCACGCCUUACACAUGCAAGUCGUACGAGAUUUGUGGUAGCUUGCUAUCAUAAAUCUAGUGGCGAACGGGUGAGUAACACGUAGGAAUUUGCCUUAGAGUUGGGGAUAAAAUACCGAAUACGCUCUAAAUAAGCUUGUUGUUAAUAAUGUUUUCAUUGUUAACAAGAGGUUUAUAAGAGGAAAGAUAUUUAUCGCUCUAAGAGAAGCCUGCGCCGGAUUAGGUAGUUGGUGGGGUAAUGGCCUACCAAGCCUACGAUCCGUAGCUGGUCUGAGAGGACGAUCAGCCACACAGGAAUUGAGAUACGGUCCUGACAUCAUUAGAUGGCAGCAGUGGGGAAUAUUGGACAAUGGGGGAAACCCUGAUCCAGCGAUGCCGCGUGAACGAAGAAGGUCUUAAGAUCGUAAAGUUCUUUCACUCGUGAAGAUAAUGACGUUACCGAGCGAAGAAGCACCGGCUAACUCUGU
rnacentral:rRNA from 1 species